rnacentral:tmRNA from 1 species
CCCCUUUUCAUCGCCGCCGAUGGGCCUUAUAUUGAAGCUGCCGGCAACGGCUAUGGCGAUAAAUUGCCAUCGUAAUAAACCCAUCGGACCCGGGGGCAGUACCCGGCG